rnacentral:rRNA from 1 species
UGGGCAACCUGCCCCCCGGCUCUGGGAUAACUCCAAGAAAUUGGGGCUAAUACCGGAUAUGACCGCUGACCGCAUGGUCUGGUGGUGGAAAGUUUUUCGGCUGGGGAUGGGCCCGCGGCCUAUCAGCUUGUUGGUGGGGUAGUGGCCUACCAAGGCGACGACGGGUAGCCGGCCUGAGAGGGUGACCGGCCACACUGGGACUGAGACACGGCCCAGACUCCGUACGGGAG